rnacentral:tRNA from 1 species
UCCCUCGUAGCUCAGUGGGUAAAGAAUCUGCCUGCAAUGCAGGAGACCUGGGUUUGAUUCCUGGUAGGGAA